ACGCUGGCGGCAGGCCUAACACAUGCAAGUCGAGCGGUAGCACAGAAGAGCUUGCUCUUUGGGUGACGAGCGGCGGACGGGUGAGUAAUGUCUGGGAAACUGCCUGAUGGAGGGGGAUAACUACUGGAAACGGUAGCUAAUACCGCAUAACCUCGCAAGAGCAAAGAGGGGGACCUUAGGGCCUCUCGCCAUCAGAUGUGCCCAGAUGGGAUUAGCUAGUAGGUGAGGUAAUGGCUCACCUAGGCGACGAUCCCUAGCUGGUCUGAGAGGAUGACCAGCCACACUGGAACUGAGACACGGUCCAGACUCCUACGGGAGGCAGCAGUGGGGAAUAUUGCACAAUGGGCGCAAGCCUGAUGCAGCCAUGCCGCGUGUGUGAAGAAGGCCUUCGGGUUGUAAAGCACUUUCAGCGGGGAGGAAGGCAGUAAGGUUAAUAACCUUAUUGAUUGACGUUACCCGCAGAAGAAGCACCGGCUAACUCCGUGCCAGCAGCCGCGGUAAUACGGAGGGUGCAAGCGUUAAUCGGAAUUGAACUGGGCGUAAAGCGCACGCAGGCGGUCUGUUAAGUUGGAUGUGAAAUCCCCGGGCUUAACCUGGGAACUGCAUUCAAAACUGACAGGCUAGAGUCUUGUAGAGGGGGGUAGAAUUCCAGGUGUAGCGGUGAAAUGCGUAGAGAUCUGGAGGAAUACCGGUGGCGAAGGCGGCCCCCUGGACAAAGACUGACGCUCAGGUGCGAAAGCGUGGGGAGCAAACAGGAUUAGAUACCCUGGUAGUCCACGCUGUAAACGAUGUCGAUUUGGAGGUUGUGCCCUUGAGGCGUGGCUUCCGAAGCUAACGCGUUAAAUCGACCGCCUGGGGAGUACGGCCGCAAGGUUAAAACUCAAAUGAAUUGACGGGGGCCCGCACAAGCGGUGGAGCAUGUGGUUUAAUUCGAUGCAACGCGAAGAACCUUACCUACUCUUGACAUCCACAGAAUUCGGCAGAGAUGCCUUAGUGCCUUCGGGAACUGUGAGACAGGUGCUGCAUGGCUGUCGUCAGCUCGUGUUGUGAAAUGUUGGGUUAAGUCCCGCAACGAGCGCAACCCUUAUCCUUUGUUGCCAGCGAUUCGGUCGGGAACUCAAAGGAGACUGCCGGUGAUAAACCGGAGGAAGGUGGGGAUGACGUCAAGUCAUCAUGGCCCUUACGAGUAGGGCUACACACGUGCUACAAUGGCGUAUACAAAGAGAAGCGACCUCGCGAGAGCAAGCGGACCUCAUAAAGUACGUCGUAGUCCGGAUUGGAGUCUGCAACUCGACUCCAUGAAGUCGGAAUCGCUAGUAAUCGUAGAUCAGAAUGCUACGGUGAAUACGUUCCCGGGCCUUGUACACACCGCCCGUCACACCAUGGGAGUGGGUUGCAAAAGAAGUAGGUAGCUUAACCUUCGGGAGGGCGCUUACCACG
rnacentral:rRNA from 1 species